rnacentral:rRNA from 1 species
CAGUAGCCGCGGGAAUACGAACCGUGCGAACGUUAUUCGGAAUUACUGGGCUUAAAGCGCGUGUAGGCGGCUCGGCACGUCGGACGUUGAAAGCCCCCGGCUCAACCGGGGAAGUGGCGCCGAUACGGCCGAGCUGGAGGGAGGUAAGGGGGUCUGGAACUUCCGGUGGAGCGGUGAAAUGCGUUGAGAUCGGAAGGAACGCCCGUGGCGAAAGCGAGGCCCUGGACCUUUUCUGACGCUGAGACGCGAAAGCCAGGGGAGCGAACGGGAUUAGAUACCCCAGUAGUCCCUGUCUCUUAUU